GAUUAAAGUGGUCUAAUUAAUUAACAACCAGAAGUGCUUCCUAUUAACUACACUUCUCCAACAUUAUUUCAAAGGUACAAUCUGGCAUAGUUUUCACUUGAAUGCAAAAGAAGCCUGCCUCUUAUACUGGACCAGAAAACUGUUUUCAAAAGCUGCAGAAUCAUACAAAUUGGAUGGAGUUUUAAAGGAUCAGAACUGAUGAGAAACUUGCCCAGCUAAUAGAUUGGCAGAGCUCAGAUCAGAGACUUAUUCCAAAGUCUGGGCUCUCAUACACCUAGAAUUGUCAUUUAUUAAAGUGUGUUUUGGAGAGAUGAAGAAUAUUGUUAGAAUGCCUAUAAGAGCUCUACUUUAAUCAGCAACCAUGUAGUACACUGGAGGACUAAAGUUUGAUCUUCUUUGUGAUGAUGUGUGAGUGUACAUGUGUGGAAGAAAUAUGGAGGUAUUUUUUAUUUAUGCUCCCUUUUUAUUUUCUCUGUUCAGCUUUGUACUUAAGGGAGCACGUGACUUUAAAUAUAAUUAGGUGCCAUCUCCACCUUCCUAGAAGGUGAUAUUGCUAUAUUUAAAAUUGUUAUCACAUUGUUAUUAUCCAGGAUGAAACAUACGGACUUUAGAUGUUACCAUCAGUAAUACCAACUUCAUUUGCCCCAUCCAAAGGAAUACUUGUAGUUCAUAUUCAGACAUGUGAUGGAACCUCAUUGAUCCAGAUGUGUAGGAACUCCUCUGUGGGACAAUCCAGACCCUCCUCUGAGCUGUCAAUCUGAUUGCAUACUUCAGUUAUUCUCAGGCCUAUUAAGUUGCAAAUGUGCACUCUUUGUCCAGAUGCUCAGAUCUUUUCAGCAACCCUCUGCAUACUGCUCAACUGCCAGCCUCCUCACUGUGUUCCAGGAAGAAUGAGAGUCUCAAUAAGAAUGCUGCCUCUGGUCAUUUGACUCCAGGCUGAGGCAGGUUAAAUCACAGUUUAAACUUUACCAACCUUUUGGAGCCUGAGAAAGCAAAAGUCAAAAGGCAAGCGAUGGCAUAACUAAUGGUAUGAAUUAGAAGGAAUGUGAAGAAGAGCACCAAACAUGGUAAAAAGAGGGAAGAAGGCGUUUGGUUAAAAAAAAAAGAAAAGAAAAGAAAAGAAAAGAAAAGAAAAGAAAAGAAAAGAAAAGAAAAGAAAAGAAACAACAACAACCGAAUAAACAAAUCAUGUUUUGCUUGGCUCUGUAAAUUAGAAGCCUGCCAAAAAGUGGUCUGCAAAGGUGUUAAGAAUCAAAAAGCAUCUUCAGUGUUCUGCCUUCAUCAGAAAUAUGGAAGGAAUUUCCUAGAGAUGGUUAGAAAGGAAUUACUGGGAACCUCAUCAGGCCUCGAUUUGCUUAUUCAUUGCCAGGCAGGGUGUUAACUAUGGGAGAUAGAAAAUGAAUAUGCCAUGGCCCUGCCAGCCAACCUUACCCUCCAGUUCAGGGAGAUACACGAACUGUUAUGCAUACUUACGCGUGAAAGGCACCAUGAAAUAAACAUAAAAAGGGUACAGUAGGCGGACAAAGGGGCAGUGAUCUACUCUGGGAUUCUAAUAAAAACAAUUCGUUACAAUCAUGUAGGGUUGUUCAGGGAGAUGAUCAACUCUCCCAGGGAAGCGCGAGGCGGAAUCUGAAUUAACAGAUAUAGUUGAGUCAAAACACAAGAAAGGGGGGUUUUGACGAAGCAAUCAAUUCACACCAGUCCCAAGAAGCAACGGCGAACACGAGACCUGGGGAAGAACCAACUGUCUAUCACGCCGUCCAAAUGUGCAUGCGAUCACCGGCGCACGAAUCCACCUUGCUGCGCGCAGCGGGCUUCUUAAACAAUGCUCCCCGGGCCCGAACAAGCGCUUAGGAACUAUUUCUUACAAAAUAAGCCAAGCGCCGGCGAACGGUCCGUCGCCACAUCCCGGUGCCCCCGCGGAGCCCCACGCGAGGGGGUGUCCCGCUUGGGGAAGAGAGAGAAAGGGGGUGUAGAGGAAGGGGAAGGAUUCGAACCAAUGCAAGAGUCCGCCCGGCGUCGCCACGCGGUUGUCACAAACAACAGCAUGGAAACAAACUAUGUCAAAGCGCAGAAAAUUGGGCGGCCUUUAAACUUUGGCAUCUGCUCCGUUUGUGGCGAGACCUCCCGGAACGUAACCCAGAACCGUACACCCGCUCGCGGGCGAGGGGAGGCGGCCAGAAGGAACCGGGCGGACAGCUUUCGCCGAGGGUUUGCAGCGAGUGUGGGACCGGGACGGGCGACGCCACGGCCAGAGGGGAGGGGAGGGG